rnacentral:rRNA from 1 species
GGCUUAACACAUGCAAGUCGAGGGGCAACGGGCGAGUGGCAACACUUGCUGUCGGCGACCGGCGCACUGGUGAGUAACACGUAUGCAACCUGCCCCCUUCUGGGAGAUAACCCAUAGAAAUGUGGCCUAAUAUCCCAUAGUCGGUCCAGCCGCAUGGCCGGGCCGGGAAAGGCGAGCCGGAAGGGGAUGGGCAUGCGGCGCAUUAGCUAGUUGGCGGGGCAGAGGCCCACCAAGGCGACGAUGCGUAGGGGUUCUGAGAGGAAGGUCCCCCACAUUGGUACUGAGACACGGACCAAACUCCUACGGGAGGCAGCAGUGAGGAAUAUUGGUCAAUGGGCGGGAGCCUGAACCAGCCAAGUCGCGUGAGGGAGGAAGGUCCUACGGAUUGUAAACCUCUUUAGCCGGGGAGCAACGUGCGCCACGCGUGGCGCAGUGAGAGUACCCGGAGAAUAAGCAUCGGCUAACUCCGUGCCAGCAGCCGCGGUAAUACGGAGGAUGCGAGCGUUAUCCGGAUUUAUUGGGUUUAAAGGGUGCGCAGGCGGCGCGAAAAGUCAGCGGUCAAAGUUCCGGGCUCAACCCGGUGACGCCGUUGAACUUUCGUGCUGGAGUUCGUGCCAGGGAAGCGGAAUGCGUUGUGUAGCGUUGAAUGCAUAGAUAUGACGCAAAACCCCGAUUGCGAAGGCAGCUUUCCAGCCGCCACUGACGCUGAGGCACAAAGCUGGGGAGCGAAAGGAUUAGAACCCUGGUAGUCACCCGGUAA